UACGGAGGGUGCAAGCGUUAUCCGGAUUCACUGGGUUUAAAGGGUGCGUAGGUGGGCAAGUAAGUCAGUGGUGAAAUCUCCGGGCUUAACCCGGAAACUGCCAUUGAUACUAUUUGUCUUGAAUACUGUGGAGGUCAGCGGAAUAUGUCAUGUAGCGGUGAAAUGCUUAGAUAUGACAUAGAACACCAAUUGCGGAGGCAGCUUACUACGCGAUUAUUGACACUGAGGCACGAAAGCGUGGGGAUCAAACAGG
rnacentral:rRNA from 1 species